rnacentral:snRNA from 1 species
AGCUUUGCGCAGUGGCAGUAUCGUAGCCAAUGAGGUUUACCCGAGGCGCGAUUAUUGCUAAUUGAAAAAUACAUAUUAUAAUAAGUUAUGCAUAGGUUUCAAAAUUUUUUGUACCAAAAUAAAUUUG